rnacentral:snoRNA from 1 species
ACCCUCCGGUCUUGGCACUUCUUUGUCUUGUUCGAAGAAUGUGUAUGCUAAAGGAGGCAAAUUAGUCGGACUUCCUUCGGUACCAGCCAUAUUGUUGUUGCGGUUGGUAGUAUCCUCAUUGUUCGGCACAAAU